UACGUAGGCAGCGAGCGUUGUUCGGAGUUACUGGGCGUAAAGAGUGCGUAGGCGGCUUUCUAAGUUUGGUGUGAAAUCUCCCGGCUCAACUGGGAGGGUGCGCCGAAGACUGGAAGGCUUGAGUAUGGGAGAGGUAAGCGGAAUUCCUGGUGUAGCGGUGAAAUGCGUAGAUAUCAGGAGGAACACCUGCGGUGUAGACGGCUUACUGGACCAUAACUGACGCUGAGGCACGAAAGCGUGGGUAGCAAACAGG
rnacentral:rRNA from 1 species